rnacentral:hammerhead_ribozyme from 1 species
GUCCAUAUGACGAGUCCAAAAUAGGACGAAAUGUGCAUCCUGGAU